GUUUUAAUAAUUUAAUAAAAAUAAUGGUAUUGUAAACCAAAAAUAUAAUUUACUUUUAAAACA
rnacentral:tRNA from 1 species